rnacentral:rRNA from 1 species
GACGAACGCUGGCGGCGUGCUUAACACAUGCAAGUCGAACGGAAAGGCCCGGCGUUUGUGGGGUGCUCGAUUGGCGAACGGGUGAGUAACACGUGAGUAACCUGCCCUUAACUUUGGGAGAACAUCAGGAAACUGGGGCUAAUACCGGAUAUGAGCUCCUGCUGCGUGUUGUUGGUUGGAGAAUUUCGGCGGUUGGGUAUGUACUCGCGGCUUAUCAGCUUGUUGGUGUGGUAGUGGCGUACCAGGGCUUUGACGGGUAGGCUGCCUGAGAGGGUGACCGGCCUCAUUGCGACUGAGAUACGGACCAGACUCCUACGGGAGGCAGCAGUGGGGAAUAUUGCACAAUGGGCGGACGCCUGAUGCAGCAACGCCGCGUGCGGGAUGACGGCCUUCGGGUUGUAAACCGCUUUCGCAUGUGACGAACAGUGCGUGACGGUAAUGGGUAAAGAAGCACCGGCUAACUACGUG